GGGGCUGUAGCUCAGCGGUAGAGCACAUACUUUGCGUGUAUGAGGUCCCGGGUCCGAUCCCCAGCACCUCCA
rfam:Sus scrofa isolate TJ Tabasco breed Duroc chromosome 12, whole genome shotgun sequence.